CUUGAAGUUAGUUAAUUUCUUAAUGCGUUCCCGUAUCAUACAUUCGUCACAGUGACAUUAAAACACUGGACGGAAGUCUGAUAAGGGAUCGCUAAAGGAACCUCUUCAUAAUGUCAAA
rnacentral:precursor_RNA from 10 species